CCUACGGGUGGCAGCAGUGAGGAAUAUUGGUCAAUGGACGCAAGUCUGAACCAGCCAAGCCGCGUGCAGGAUGACGGCUCUAUGAGUUGUAAACUGCUUUUGUACGAGGGUAAACCCCGAUACGUGUAUCGGGUUGAAAGUAUCGUACGAAUAAGGAUCGGCUAACUCCGUGCCAGCAGCCGCGGUAAUACGGAGGAUCCGAGCGUUAUCCGGAUUUAUUGGGUUUAAAGGGUGCGUAGGCGGUUUGAUAAGUUAGAGGUGAAAUGUCUGGGCUCAACCCCGAAACUGCCUCUAAUACUGUUAGACUAGAGAAUAGUUGCGGUAGGCGGAAUGUAUGGUGUAGCGGUGAAAUGCUUAGAGAUAAUACAGAACACCGAUUGCGAAGGCAGCUUACCAGACUAUAUCUGACGUUGAGGCACGAGAGCGUGGGUAGCAAACAGGAUUAGAUACCCGUGUAGUC
rnacentral:rRNA from 1 species